GUUGUUUAGGAGCAUCCAACCACUAUCAGCAUCUUUUAAGUGUCAGAUGCAAGCCCUUGUAUAAUUUCUAUCUGAAUAAUAUGCCUUGGUCAACAUCUCAGGCAUAGACAUUGCUAUUAUCCUGCUACGAAUCUGAGUCAGAGUCGUCUUAUGGCGCGAAUAUUUCUGAAGAACAAACUUCGCCUUUGAGAUAACUACGCAUCUAGUGGAGAUCUGGUCCAUCUGGAUCCAUCCAUGCAUCUGGCUUCAAUUGUGUUAGCACAUAAUGACAACUAGCUGAAUUUUGUGUGGGAAACUUUAGCAUCUCUGAUGCAUCGUAUGGAACAAAU
rnacentral:lncRNA from 1 species